rfam:Triticum aestivum genome assembly, contig: Triticum_aestivum_CS42_TGACv1_scaffold_342552_4DL
GCUCUCUGAUCCGAAGAUCGUCUCCAAAAUUCUCGCCGGCCUGGACAUGGAGUACAACCCGGUGGUCUCUGCGCUCGCCGCCAGGGUGGAGCCCAUCACCGUCCAGGAGCUCUACAGGCAGCUGCUCAGUUUUGAUG